rnacentral:rRNA from 1 species
CAGUAGCCGCGGUAAUACGAAGGGGGCUAGCGUUGCUCGGAAUGACUGGGCGUAAAGGGCGCGUAGGCGGUUUGUACAGUCAGAUGUGAAAUUCCUGGGCUCAACCUGGGGACUGCAUUUAAUACGUACGGACUUGAGUGGAGAAGAGGGUCGUGGAAUUUCCAGUGUAGAGGUGAAAUUCGUAGAUAUUGGAAAGAACACCGGUGGCGAAGGCGGCGACCUGGUCUUUAACUGACGCUGAGGCGCGAAAGCGUGGGGAGCAAACAGGAUUAGAUACCCCCGUAGUCCCUGUCUCUUAUAC